rnacentral:rRNA from 1 species
CGAAGGGUGCAAGCGUUACUCGGAAUUACUGGGCGUAAAGCGUGCGUAGGUGGUUCGUUAAGUCUGUCGUGAAAGCCCCGGGCUCAACCUGGGAAUGGCGAUGGAUACUGGCGGGCUAGAGUGCGGUAGAGGGUGGUGGAAUUCCCGGUGUAGCAGUGAAAUGCGUAGAGAUCGGGAGGAACAUCAGUUGCGAAGGCGGCCACCUGGACCAGCACUGACACUGAGGCACGAAAGCGUGGGGAGCAAACAGGAUUAGAUACCCUGGUAGUCCACGCCCUAAACGAUGCGGACUGGACGUUGGGAGCAACUAGGCUCUCAGUGUCGAAGCUAACGCGUUAAGUCCGCCGCCUGGGGAGUACGGUCGCAAGCUG